UUAAAUUAGUUAUGAGUUUAGUAAUCCUGUCUCAAUGAGUUUCUACAGUUUUCUCAUUAGGAUUGAAUUAUUUUGGUUCUUUUUUAUUAGUAGUUACACAUAAAGAGAUUUAUAUAUAGAAUGAAGAAACUGGGUAGUAUAUUACUGGUUUGGGAAUCUUAACAUUACUGCAGGACCCUGACCCUGAUCCUUAGGCUGAUAGAGGAUCAACUAGCAUAAGCAGUUCUCAAAGCCACAGACUCUGCAAACUCACAAAUCUUAAAAGCACUCACAUUACUUUGCCUUUGAGAAUUCUUCCCUUCAUGAUCUGCUAAAGACUAAAGCAUUCUUGCACUAGUUGCAUUGUAUUUGUGCUUUGCUUUUCUUCAGCAUACAUAGUGUCACGUAAUGUGUACACCUGCAUGUUGCCCUUAAACUGUUGUCUGAUUUCAAGUAUGUUUUUAUUUCCUCCAGCUACAUGGUAAACUCCUAGAGACCAAAAUCUGUAUUAACAACUUUCUGACACUUUUUCUAAGGUGCUUGGUGCACAACACUCACCUUACUGUUUAUGUAUAAAUACGGUCAUGAAGUCCUCAGCAGGUGAACUGCAUAGCUUAGAUCUUAUAUGUAGUGUGGUCCUCCAGUCAGAUUGGGCUUACUUCCAAAGUAGUGACUUUUCAAGAGUUUGUGCCAUUUUCUACCUUCUUAAUGGAAAAGUUAGAGGGGAAAAUGCAAGGACACAGGACAAAUACUUGGUGGAAGUAGUAGCUGGGUUUUUUUGGAGUGCUUUGAUUCCUUUUAAUUCUCCAAUGUUUCUAGCCUUAUUUUGGAGUUGGAGGAAAUGAAUUUGAAGAUGUUAAAGUGACAGAACUUGAGUCCAUGUCUUCUAGUGACAAGUUCUUGUUUAUUUUAUUACUAUAUUGCUUUUUAAAAACGGCCUUUUUCCAGUGGAGAGGUUGCGGGGAAAGAGAAGUCUUCGACCCAAGUGAUCACUAUCUGUAAUACCCACCUGAUGCCACCAGGGUGCCCCGUGGUGCUGUCUUUGAUCCAUGUUCUUAGCCAGGUUGAUGGGGCUGUUUUCAAAGUGUUCAUCUUGUCACAGUGGCCAUCGCCCAGAGCCCAACAGUACAAAGUGGGGUACUUAGCUCCCUGGCUUUCCAGUGUGCAGUGCACAGCCAACAUCAGAGAAGCCCUUGCCCUCUUUUGACCCCUUCUGGUCACACUGGCCCACAGAAAACAGAUCAGUGACCAGAGCCUGGCUAGCUACUUUUACCAAGCUACAGUCUCAGAGGAUAGUAGCACGAAAAAGAUCCUGAGAAUGGGUAAAUGUAAACAUGCACUUGUUUUGUUAGCUAAGUGUACACUUAAAUUCAUAUUAGCAAAAUAGAUGUGAUACACAAAACCAGAUUGAAUUGCUUUAUCAGCUUUAAAAGCAAUGUGUGAUGACUUUCAGUUUGCGGUAACAGUCUGCUUUAUACUUGGUCCUGAGUGUACAGCCUAUUAGGCAUUAGUUGUGAUAUUCAACCCUAGAUGACAGCCCAGUGUCAAAGCUGCCAGUUAUGUGAGAACCAAUGAAGUGAAGUCUCAUUUAGCAGGGAGAGUAGCCCCUUUACUAUUUUGUUUUCUUCCCAGUGCUCUUAUAAUCAUUUUGUAUAAACAUUUAACUAGUCUAUAGUUAUUUCCAGUUUUGAUUUCUCUAUUGGAGGAGAUUCUUAAACAUAUUCCAGUGACUGACUAGUACAGUUCCUGGCCUUAAAUAGAUGCUUCAUAAAUAUUUGCUUACUGAAAAAGCAUGAUAGUUAUGGCAUAGUUCUACACAUGAGCCAUUUUUCUAAGGAGAGAAUCCACAUUAGGAGGUCUUUGUUUUGUCCAAUACAUUAUGAACUGAAAAGUUAGUACCUAGGGUGUCUUGGCUAGCCUUUCAAAACCUAGAAUAUAUCAUUCUAGGUUGGAGAUAGCACAGCCUGAAUUUUGGGCUGAAGCUGAGCUGAUUAUCUCUAGAUGGCAUCCAUGCAGUAUCUCUAGGACUAGGCGUUUACCAGAGUUCUUAGAACCAUGGGGGAGACAAACUUUUCUGAUUGAAGCUGUGUCCUUGGGGUGCCUUUUCCCUCUCCCUUUCCUGUUUUCUCAGGUACAUUUCCAUCCCCAAAUUCCUGUGGUUUUAAGAUCACUGUGGAACAAAUCCCAAACCUCCCUCUAGUAGUCGAGGUUUCCUUUCAGUUUUUUCAGCUCUUCUGUGGGGAGAAAGCUAAUCACAGAUUGUAUGAACUUGAACCUUCCAUAUGCUUUGCUUAAGUGAUCAGAGUAACUGAUCUUUAGCUAAAUGAAUUUGCGUAUAGAACAUACGUGGGGACUUCCUAAGGCUUCAUGAGUUUUGCUAAAUGUACUGUGUAGGUCCUGGACAAGUUAGGAAUAAAACUUACCAAUUCUAAUGCAAACAAAAAAAUCCUCUUGUCCCUGAGAAGCAUAACUAAGCAAAACUAGUUAUCUAAUUUAGUUUUAAUUCGUCUGAGGAUAAUUCCUUCAUAUGUGAAGAAUAAACGUAUUCCUUUCCCAUCUAAAGAAUAAAUCAGUGACAGGUAGAGAGUGUGUGUAUUGCAACCCCCAGGAUUCUUAUUUCUGGGACUGCCUUUUACCUGAUGCUUUGGACGCAUUUUCACUGGCUUGAAUUGAGUACUUGCCAUCUGCUGUCAGCAUUCACUGCUGAAUAAAAGGGGAGGAAGGGGGAGAGAAAGUGAAAUGAGAGCUUGUGGGGUGGGUGAGGAGUGAGGAAGCUGGAAAAAUAAGAGGAAACAGCUGGGAGCUAGGAAGUUGUGGAGGGACUUAAUGUAAGGUCAGUAAAACAGCUUGCAGAGGACAGGGUCAGGCCUAGGGGUAAAAGGCUAAUUAACUUCUGUCAACUAGUUGAGUAGAGCCUUGUGUGCUUUGUUUUGGAGACUAAAAUUACUUCAGAGGAAACAUCUAGAUUCUCUGAAUCUGAUCCAUUUUCCCUGUGUAUCAUAGUAAAUUAUUCACCAAGUCAGAAUCUAUCCUGCUCUCUAGGAAUUGUCCUCUUUAGGUCUAGCAAAGAGCUUGCUGCCACAGUUCAGGCAAUCAAGGGUGAAAUGCUUCACAUAGUAUUAGUGGAUAGCAGGUAAGCUUUAUGUUUUAGUACACAACUUAAGGAUUAAAUGCUGACUACAACUGUUGUUUCAGUUCAGUUCAGUCGCUCAGUCGUGUCCGACUUUGCGACCCCAUGAAUCGCAGCACACCAGGCCUCCCUGUCCAUUACCAACUCCUGGAGUUCACUCAGACUCACGUCAGUGAUGCCAUAGUUUAAAGAGCAGCUUGCCAGGUUCCCUGCACCUGCUUAUAUACUGGGCCAGAUGACUGACUGUAGAACUUUAGGCAGCUUCUGUAAUAGUUCAGAGACUUCUCAGAGUCAAGAAACAUCCUUAAAGAAGCAAAUCUAGAGCUCAUGCCAGAUCUUAACGCUGUUCUGGCCUUGUGUUGCCAUCUCGGUAUUGCUGUCUAGAGUGGAGCAACCUACCUAAAGCUUAGUCUAAGUUUUGUGAUGCCACCUCAGUGUCUUAGGUCACCACUGCUCAUGUCCCUCACUGAGGGAACAUACUGAAUAGGUUCCUCAAAACCUGCGUCAUUAUUUCCUGUUUCUUUCACUGUGAAGAAUAGAGGGAUCCUCAGCUGAAGAUCAAAUUGACCCAAUGAGGCUUUUUUUUAAUCUAGGCCAAUGAAAGGAAGAGGAAGGAGCCCGAAUUCAGAAAGAGGGAGUCAUAAUAUAAGAUCUGCAAUGUAUUGACAUGGUAACUCUUUGAAGACUAAGAGAAACAGAAUCCUAUUUGAAUUCUGAACUAUGGAGUCUGAGAUGAAGACGAAAUUGAGAUGUUUCUAUUGGAAUUUGGGCUGACUGGUUCCCUGAUGUGUUACCUGCUUCUGCCACUGAUUGAAACUGCAGAACUUCUCAUUCGUCCCCAAGACUUCCAGUAGGGAAUCAGCUCUAAAAGAAACCAGACCAACGUUUGCCAGCCCCUGCAUUCUGGUGACUGAGGAGAGGAGAGUGGGCAGCGGCUACCUCUAUGUGAGGAAUGGAUAGAAUACGUUCAGGCCAUCAUCAUGCAAAGCUCCAGUAGCAGUGACGCCUACACGGAAGACUUGGAACUGCAAACAGAGGCCGGGGUCACCUCAGUGACAUCUGACGCUGUCCAACCAGAAGUUCGAUUUUUGUUUGGGGCGGGGGGUUGGGGGAAGAAGCAGACUGUACUAAAGAACUAAAACAAUUUCUUGUCUA
ensembl:lncRNA